AACCGAGUUGUAAUUUGGAGACGGGACACUAGAGAGGAGGAAGGCGAUUAAGUGCCUUGGAACAGGCUGCCGUAGAGGGUGAGAGCCCCGUGAAUCGCUGGAGACCGAUCAAUUAGUGCCCGCCGAAGAGUCGAGUUGUUUGGGAAUGCAGCUCUAAGUGGGUGGUAUAUUCCAUCUAAGGCUAAAUAUUAGCGAGAGACCGAUAGCAAACAAGUACAGUGAUGGAAAGAUGAAAAGAACUUUGGAAAGAGAGUGAAAUAGUACGUGAAAUUGUUGAAAGGGAAGGGUAUUUGAUCCGACAUGGUGUUUAGCAGCGGCCCGUUCCUCGUGGAUGGGUGCACCUGGUUUACACUGGGCCAGCAUCGGUUCUGGGAGCCAUAUACGGGGUUCGUGAAUGUGGCCCUUCGAUUCUGUCGGAGGGUGUUAUAGC
rnacentral:rRNA from 1 species